UCGGGCUUACCAUGCAGUCGAACGCUGAAGCCUGGUGCUUGCACCGGGUGGAUGAGUGGCGAACGGGUGAGUAACACGUGUAGUAACCUGCCCCUGACUUCGGGAUAAGCCCGGGAAACUGGGUCUAAUACCGGAUACGACUGCCGGACGCAUGUCUGGUGGUGGAAAGUUUUUUCGGUUGGGGAUGGGCUCGCGGCCUAUCCAGUUUGUUGGUGAGGUAAUGGCUCACCAAGACGACGACGGGUAGCCGGCCUGAGAGGGCGACCGGCCACACUGGGACUGAGACACGGCCCAGACUCCUACGGGAGGCAGCAGUGGGGAAUAUUGCACAAUGGGGGAAACCCUGAUGCAGCGACGCAGCGUGCGGGAUGACGGCCUUCGGGUUGUAAACCGCUUUCAGCAGGGAAGAAGCGCAAGUGACGGUACCUGCAGAAGAAGUACCGGCUAACUACGUGCCAGCAGCCGCGGUAAUACGUAGGGUACGAGCGUUGUCCGGAAUUAUUGGGCGUAAAGAGCUCGUAGGUGGUUGGUCACGUCUGCUGUGGAAACGCAACGCUUAACGUUGCGCGUGCAGUGGGUACGGGCUGACUAGAGUGCAGUAGGGGAGUCUGGAAUUCCUGGUGUAGCGGUGAAAUGCGCAGAUAUCAGGAGGAACACCGGUGGCGAAGGCGGGACUCUGGGCUGUAACUGACACUGAGGAGCGAAAGCAUGGGGAGCGAACAGGAUUAGAUACCCUGGUAGUCCAUGCCGUAAACGUUGGGCACUAGGUGUGGGGGGCAUUCCACGUUCUCCGCGCCGUAGCUAACGCAUUAAGUGCCCCGCCUGGGGAGUACGGUCGCAAGGCUAAAACUCAAAGGAAUUGACGGGGGCCCGCACAAGCGGCGGAGCAUGCGGAUUAAUUCGAUGCAACGCGAAGAACCUUACCAAGGCUUGACAUACACCGGACCGUCCUGGAAACAGGUCCUCUUCUUUGAAGCUGGUGUACAGGUGGUGCAUGGUUGUCGUCAGCUCGUGUCGUGAGAUGUUGGGUUAAGUCCCGCAACGAGCGCAACCCUCGUUCUAUGUUGCCAGCACGUGAUGGUGGGAACUCAUAGGAGACUGCCGGGGUCAACUCGGAGGAAGGUGGGGAUGACGUCAAAUCAUCAUGCCCUUUAUGUCUUGGGCUUCCCGCAUGCUACAAUGGCUGGUACAAAAAGAGGCGAACCCGUGAGGGCAAGCGAAUCCCUUAAAGCCAGUCUCAGUUCGGAUCGUAAUCUGCAAUUCCACUACCUGGAAGUCGGAAUCCCUAGUAAUCCCCAAACACCAACCUUCCGGUGAAUACUUUCCCGGGCCUUGUAAACACCGCCCGUCAAUUCCCAAAGGUCGGUAACACCCGAAGCCGGUGGCCUAACCGUAAGGAGGGGCCGUCCAAGGGGACUGGUUUGAUAGAAGAAAUAACACCCC
rnacentral:rRNA from 1 species